GCCAUACACAGGUAGCAGUUUGACAAGCUAUUACACAAGCUCACAUUUCUGGGAGCAAAAGACAGGUGGCGUAGUAGCAGUCGUGUGUUCAUCUUCAUUUGCAGCAACGACAAGUUCACGGCUUGGUGCUUCAUCUUCAUUUCGAGCUACAA